CCUACGGGUGGCAGCAGUGGGGAAUAUUGGGCAAUGGGCGCAAGCCUGACCCAGCAACGCCGCGUGAAGGAAGAAGGCUUUCGGGUUGUAAACUUCUUUUCUCAGGGACGAAGCAAGUGACGGUACCUGAGGAAUAAGCCACGGCUAACUACGUGCGAGCAGCCGCGGUAAUACGUAGGUGGUAAGCGUUAUCCGGAUUUACUGGGUGUAAAGGGCGUGUAGGCGGGACUGCAAGUCAGAUGUGAAAACCACGGGCUCAACCUGUGACCUGCAUUUGAUACUGUAGUUCUUGAGUACUGGAGAGGCAGAUGGAAUUCCUAGUGUAGCGGUGAAAUGCGUAGAUAUUAGGAGGAACACCAGUGGCUAAGGCGGUCUGCUGGACAGCAACUGACGCUGAGGCGCGAAAGCGUGGGGAGCAAACAGGAUUAGAUACCCGUGUAGUC
rnacentral:rRNA from 1 species